UUGGUCACACUAUCAGAAGAGCGCCGCUUCAAUCAACAUUUCGUUGAUCAAACACACCAUUAUACUUUGGAGACUACAAAAAACAUACAAAUUGAAGAACCUUUUCGGUAAACAACUACAUGCGUUGCUAUUCAACAGUUUUCCCGCCACUUCCACAAAACAGCGAUAAUGGGUCCGCGCUCAACAAUAGAUAAACGCAUUUUGGUCAUAACAUGUUAUCAAAAUGGCUACUCAUAUGGCCAGAUCGGAGAUAUGGUUAAUAUGGCGAGAUCGUCUGUGCAAGCAAUUGUUACACGUUUCGUCCGAGAGAACCGGGUGUGCUAUAAGUCCAGGAAGGCACCGAAUAAAAUUUUUACGGAACACGAAGAAACAAUGAUCGUUUUAAAAUAUCAAAACGAAUCCAUUUCAUUGAAAGAUCUACUUGAAUAUGUGAAAAACAAAUUUAACAAAACGUGUAGUUUGAAAACAAUUCAUCGAGUGCUCCAAGCUGCACCUCUCGCAGGUGAUAACCUGCCGUUAUCCACCGAUGAGAAUAAUGAUAAUAACAAGGACUUCUCAACCAUAGAAAAUAACAAUAAUAACGAGGUCGGUUCAACCAGAGAAAAUAACAAUAAUAGCGAGGUCGGUUCAAUCAUAGAAAAUAUACCGAGCCGGCUGUCGUUUGCUAAUGAUCAUUUGUCAAAAAGCUCGGACUUUUGGGACUCUGUAAUAUUUACAGGCGUAGCUUCGUUUAGUCCAAUGUACUCAAAAAUCGGACUUAAGGAACACCAUGAGAUGAAAAGGAAAUAUAAAGGUGGAAAACUCGUCGUUUGGGGCUGUAUUUCCGCGGCCGGGGUAGGAAACUUGGUGUUUGUUGAUCGAGAAAUGACCAAA
rnacentral:sRNA from 1 species